UACGAAGGGGGCUAGCGUUGCUCGGAAUCACUGGGCGUAAAGCGCACGUAGGCGGAUUGCCAAGUCAGGGGUGAAAUCCUGGAGCUCAACUCCAGAACUGCCUUUGAUACUGGCGAUCUUGAGUCCGGGAGAGGUGAGUGGAACUGCGAGUGUAGAGGUGAAAUUCGUAGAUAUUCGGAAGAACACCAGUGGCGAAGGCGGCUCACUGGACUGGUAUUGACGCUGAGGUACGAAAGCGUGGGGAGCAAACAGG
rnacentral:rRNA from 1 species